rnacentral:tRNA from 1 species
GGUUUUUUUCUUUAUUUUACUUUCUUUUGUAUUACUUAUUUUUUUCAUUUUAUUAUUCUAUUAUUAACGAUUG